ACAAACAAAAAAGCCAAGCAACAAGGAGCAACAUAAUACAAAGAGGUAAUUGGGUUCAAGGUGAUGCCUUUAGAUGUGAGCAAGAUUUGGAUCAGGACAAGCCUUGUGGCCUCAAAAGCAACAGCACCCAGCUGCAGAAUCACACCCCAGGUGUCAAAUCGAGCCUCCCCAUAAGCAGCAAUGGCGACCCCAAUUGAGAUCGAGACCAUGUUCACCAUGGUAUCAGUCUUAAAGCUCUCUUUUUUUAACGAAACCCCAAUUGAGUAAACGGCCACAGGCAUGAGCGCCUUAAGCAUUU
rnacentral:lncRNA from 1 species